AAAGAAAAAAAAUAACAUCAAUAACUUUUAGAAAUAACAAAAAGUCAUUGCAUAAUUUAGGCAAACAAUGAUUGGAGAGCAUUUUGAAGUGGAACGUGAAGCGAAACAAAGUGGAGAAGUUAUAGACUGGAAAGAAGCACAAGUGAUGAAGAAGCAGGUGAAGUGAAGCAAAACUUGGCAUAUCCUCAAAUGUGCCACAAUUUAAACAAUUUCAUGACACUUGAAGUCAAUUUUUCAUGUUUCCCUUUGUUACUUCUGAGCUGGACUACUUUGAGCCGCACGUUUGACACCAAAUCCACAUAAGCCCAGGUUACAACUGCAACACAUUACUAAAAGCGACAAAGUAAAGAAACCGAAACAAUGGCAACCACAUCCAAACUAAAUAAACGCCAACGCGAGCAUCGCUGAAUAUGGGAGGGCACCUGCUACCGCCGAGUGAGACCCAUAGGCUUCAGUGGGUGAAGUCAAUUUUAAACCGCUGCAUGUAUAUUGGGUUGUGUGAAGAGUUACAACAACAACUAUAAAACAAUUGCGGUACUUAAUUUGUUGAAUAGCGUCAUUGUGUACGAGACUUCAAGUGCAUAAUGACACAGUCAUCAGCAGUCACACAUUUGAAUGGGGCAGUGGAAUAAAGAACAAAAAAAACUGGAGAAACAGAAAAGAAAAGACGGAACCGCAUGUGACACGCAAAUCACAAAUAGUUACAUACAAAUAUAUUUGAGAAUGUGAAAGUAAGAGGAGCCAGCGGAAAAGCCUGCGCAGACCAUCAGUGGUUGCAAUGAAGUUGUCACCGGUAAAACACUUGGUAUUUCCUUCCUGUCACUCCGCUAUUGCCAUCCGUCUUGCGAAGCGUUAUCACAAUGAUGCAUACUUAGUACGACAAAGACUCUCUGUGGAUUUACAGCUUACGAUAAUUUACUUACGUUUAUAUAUGGUAUGUAUACGUGCACCACAUACACACAUGCCAACAACUCACUCACAGUGCAAAGAGGCUCGCAUGACGAUGAAUAAAAUGUAAAAUGUCAGCAUGUCAAUUGCGCAUGUAACGUCUGACGUUUCAAAAGAAAGCGUUAUGACUUUUUUAUAAAGUAGGUAGACCUUUUCUUUCAUUCAACUUUCGUUUUUUUUACAUUCAGAGUCAAAUAGCAACAUUAAAACACUGCGAACAAUGGCAACAGAAACAGUAAAAUUGCUGAAUCAUAUUUUUAUCAACAAAUUACCAGUGCAACAAGAGCGUAAGUGACAUCGAAAAUUCCGAGAGUGACGUGUCAACAAAACGUACUUAUUUCGCAAAACGAUGAAAGAACAAACAAAACAGUUGGAUUUUCGUUUUUAAAAAUGCCACCAAGCAGACGUACAAACUUAGGUCGCAGAACUCGAAAUACUACAAGUCAAAUAUAUAUAAGAUCAAAUCAAACUAAUAAGCAACGCGAAGCGCGAAAUGAAGUGUUAGCUACAAUAUUUAUAACUUAUGAACGGCUUAACUGAUUUGGCUUUAAGUUGGUGAGGAGAUAGCAUAGAAUCGUCAAUUUUAAAUAAUUCGCUACUGUUGUUAAUGUGAAUGAAAACGUCAAUUAUCUAGAUAUACUCCGAAUGAGAUCACAUAAUCUUUGGUUGAAAAUUAUUCAGAGCUAUUUCAAUUCACCUCAAUUAUGCAACGGUUCAGCUAUGAUAAUCAAAAGGAUUACAAGAAAUAUUAUAAUAGCAACUAAUUUGACUGGAAAAUUUAAUGGAGAAAUAGCCCUCUUGCCACGUUUUCCAAUGAUGCUGUCAGAACGUACGAUACAAAUAGAGCUUAAUUAAUUGAAUUUGAAAAUGUUUAUAAUUAAAAACUAUAAAUAUUAUUGUUAAAAUUUAAGAACGAUCAACCUCUUUCAUUAUUUCAAACGUUAUCUACUAACAACUUUGAAAAUUACUCAUUUGUUUCUUACUUGAAUAUAAAAUUAAUACAAUAAAAAAAAACAUAUUA